AUUCAGUGUGACUUCAGAAGCUGGUAGGCCUCAAUAAGCACAUCUGCUUUCUCCAGACAGGGCUAUAUUUCAGGGCAGAUGACCUUUCAGUAUUUCCUGUGUAUCUGGAAUACAAACUGCUCAGUCUGGAAGAUGUGGUACAUCUUUGAGGAACUCUUGUUAUGGAAAUGAUGAGACAGACGGAUGUGUAUUUGGAUCUUUUCCAGCUCUAAAGGGCAUUUAUCCAGGUUCCAACAGACAGACCAGUUAUUAUGCACACUGCCAUUUGCCUACCAAAGCAUGAUCACUUUAAGCAGAUUAUUGCUCAGAACAUCAGCAUUUGAAGAGGAAGGAACAUUUCCAUGGCAGACGUUGGUGACGUCAUCUCAGCAGCUAGAGGCCAUUGUGCCACAGUUAAUGGAUGACCCCGUUUUGCUUGUGUGAUACUAGCAGAAGUAGGAGGUGCAGACCUUGUUUCAGCAUUUUGCUCUCCAGCACCCAGAAAAAAGUAGGUAAGCUGAAUCCUGGCAGGUAAAUUAUUUUUUUGGAAGCAGACAGGCUUUUUGAAGCAAGAAGGUCAGCUCCUCUCUGAUGUUCUUUUCUUUCUAAUAGGCACUUUUACUUGAACACAAUCAAAUCUUUUCCACUUCAUACGUGCACUCCUUCCUUUCAGGCAAGUACACUUCUUUCUCCCUCUUUAUUUCCCCCUUGUAAGCAAACAUAACCUAAAAGAAAAGGACAGAUUAAAGCUGCUUGCUCAUAAAACUUGCCUUCUUCCUAUACUAGGAAUUUGUUUUGUGACCUACUUCCUUAACACUGUUUGCUAUUGAGCAAG
rnacentral:lncRNA from 1 species